AGAGUUUGAUCCUGGCUCAGAACGAACGCUGGCGGCGCGUCUUAAGCAUGCAAGUCGAACGGCAAGAGAGGAGCUUGCUUCUCUCCUAGAGUGGCGGACUGGUGAGGAACACGUGGGUAAUCUACCCUUAAGAUGGGGAUAGCUGCUAGAAAUAGCAGGUAAUACCGAAUACACUCGGCAUAUCACAAGAGGUGUUGAGGAAAGGAAGCUACGGCUUCGCUUGAGGAUGAGCUUGCGUCCCAUUAGCUAGUUGGUGAGGUAAAGGCCCACCAAGGCGACGAUGGGUAUCCGGCCUGAGAGGGUGAACGGACACAUUGGGACUGAGAUACGGCCCAAACUCCUACGGGAGGCAGCAGCUAAGAAUAUUCCGCAAUGGACGGAAGUCUGACGGAGCGACGCCGCGUGGAUGAAGAAGGCUGAAAAGUUGUAAAAUCCUUUUGUUGAUGAAGAAUAAGGGUGAGAGGGAAUGCUCAUCUGAUGACGGUAAUCGACGAAUAAGCCCCGGCUAAUUACGUGCCAGCAGCCGCGGUAACACGUAAGGGGCGAGCGUUGUUCGGAAUUAUUGGGCGUAAAGGGCAUGUAGGCGGUUAUGUAAGCCUGAUGUGAAAUCCUGGGGCUUAACCCUAGAAUAGCAUUGGGUACUGUAUAGCUUGAAUUACGGAAGGGAAACUGGAAUUCCAAGUGUAGGGGUGGAAUCUGUAGAUAUUUGGAAGAACACCGGUGGCGAAGGCGGGUUUCUGGCCGAUAAUUGACGCUGAGAUGCGAAAGUGUGGGGAUCGAACAGGAUUAGAUACCCUGGUAGUCCACACCGUAAACGAUGUACACUAGGUGUUGGGGCAAGAGCUUCAGUGCCAAAGCAAACGCGAUAAGUGUACCGCCUGGGGAGUAUGCCCGCAAGGGUGAAACUCA
rnacentral:rRNA from 1 species